UUUGUUCUUCAACAACUUGCUGAGGAUCAGAGCAAUCAUAACAAUGGCCAAUGCUGCAAAAAUGCCG
rnacentral:sRNA from 1 species